UCAUCCAAUUAAACCACAAA
rnacentral:miRNA from 1 species